rnacentral:rRNA from 1 species
AUUGAACGCUGGCGGCAUGCUUUACACAUGCAAGUCGAACGGUAACAGGCCUUCGGGUGCUGACGAGUGGCGGACGGGUGAGUAAUGCAUCGGAACGUGCCCAGAGGUGGGGGAUAACGCAGCUAAAGCUGUGCUAAUACCGCAUGUGAUCUGAGGAUGAAAGCGGGGGACCAGGCAGCAAUGUUUGGCCUCGCGCCUUUGGAGCGGCCGAUGUCAGAUUUGGUAGUUGGUGGGGUAAAGGCCUACCCAGCCGCCGAUCUGUAGCUGGUCUGAGAGGACGGCCAGCCACACUGGGACUGAGACACGGCCCAGACUCCUGCGGGAGGCAGCAGUGGGGAAUUUUGGACAAUGGGCGCAAGCCUGAUCCAGCAAUGCCGCGUGCGGGAAGAAGGCCUUCGGGUUGUAAACCGCUUUUGUACGGAACGAAAAGGCUCUGGCUAAUACCUGGGGCUGAUGACGGUACCGGAAGAAUAAGCACCGGCUAACUACGUG